AACGCUGGCGGCAGGCCUAACACAUGCAAGUCGAACGGUAACAGGAAGCAGCUUGCUGCUUUGCUGACGAGUGGCGGACGGGUGAGUAAUGUCUGGGAAACUGCCUGAUGGAGGGGGAUAACUACUGGAAACGGUGGCUAAUACCGCAUAACGUCGCAAGACCAAAGAGGGGGACCUUCGGGCCUCUUGCCAUCAGAUGUGCCCAGAUGGGAUUAGCUUGUUGGUGAGGUAACGGCUCACCAAGGCGACGAUCCCUAGCUGGUCUGAGAGGAUGACCAGCCACACUGGAACUGAGACACGGUCCAGACUCCUACGGGAGGCAGCAGUGGGGAAUAUUGCACAAUGGGCGCAAGCCUGAUGCAGCCAUGCCGCGUGUAUGAAGAAGGCCUUCGGGUUGUAAAGUACUUUCAGCGGGGAGGAAGGUGUUGUGGUUAAUAACCGCAGCAAUUGACGUUACCCGCAGAAGAAGCACCGGCUAACUCCGUGCCAGCAGCCGCGGUAAUACGGAGGGUGCAAGCGUUAAUCGGAAUUACUGGGCGUAAAGCGCACGCAGGCGGUCUGUCAAGUCGGAUGUGAAAUCCCCGGGCUCAACCUGGGAACUGCAUUCGAAACUGGCAGGCUUGAGUCUUGUAGAGGGGGGUAGAAUUCCAGGUGUAGCGGUGAAAUGCGUAGAGAUCUGGAGGAAUACCGGUGGCGAAGGCGGCCCCCUGGACAAAGACUGACGCUCAGGUGCGAAAGCGUGGGGAGCAAACAGGAUUAGAUACCCUGGUAGUCCACGCCGUAAACGAUGUCUACUUGGAGGUUGUGCCCUUGAGGCGUGGCUUCCGGAGCUAACGCGUUAAGUAGACCGCCUGGGGAGUACGGCCGCAAGGUUAAAACUCAAAUGAAUUGACGGGGGCCCGCACAAGCGGUGGAGCAUGUGGUUUAAUUCGAUGCAACGCGAAGAACCUUACCUGGUCUUGACAUCCACGGAAGAAUUCAGAGAUGGAUUUGUGCCUUCGGGAACCGUGAGACAGGUGCUGCAUGGCUGUCGUCAGCUCGUGUUGUGAAAUGUUGGGUUAAGUCCCGCAACGAGCGCAACCCUUAUCCUUUGUUGCCAGCGGUCCGGCCGGGAACUCAAAGGAGACUGCCAGUGAUAAACUGGAGGAAGGUGGGGAUGACGUCAAGUCAUCAUGGCCCUUACGACCAGGGCUACACACGUGCUACAAUGGCGCAUACAAAGAGAAGCGACCUCGCGAGAGCAAGCGGACCUCAUAAAGUGCGUCGUAGUCCGGAUUGGAGUCUGCAACUCGACUCCAUGAAGUCGGAAUCGCUAGUAAUCGUGGAUCAGAAUGCCACGGUGAAUACGUUCCCGGGCCUUGUACACACCGCCCGUCACACCAUGGGAGUGGGUUGCAAAAGAAGUAGGUAGCUUAACCUUCGGGAGGGCGCUUACCACUUUGUGAUUCAUGACUGGGGUGAAGUCGUAACAAGGUAACCGUAGGGGAACCUGCGGUUGGA
rnacentral:rRNA from 1 species